ACGGAAUGCGACGAGAGCAACCUUCAGGCAAUCUGUAAAGAGUGCGAACUAUUUCAUUUGAGAGCUUCGAAAUAGUGUUGGAGGAGUGUGGUAUACCUACCUCACGAUAGAUAUAUAUAUGCGGGCUACCAUACUAUAAGCAGUCAAUAAACGAGCUUCACUGUG